rnacentral:rRNA from 1 species
AUUGAACGCUGGCGGCAUGCCUUACACAUGCAAGUCGAACGGCAGCGGGCCUUCGGGUGCCGGCGAGUGGCGAACGGGUGAGUAAUGCAUCGGAACGUGCCAUUGAGUGGGGGGAUAACGUAGCGAAAGUUGCGCUAAUACCGCAUAUUCUGUGAGCAGGAAAGCAGGGGACCGCAAGGCCUUGCGCUCUUUGAGCGGCCGAUGUCAGAUUAGCUAGUUGGUGAGGUAAAGGCUUACCAAGGCGACGAUCUGUAGCGGGUCUGAGAGGAUGAUCCGCCACACUGGAACUGAGACACGGUCCAGACUCCUACGGGAGGCAGCAGUGGGGAAUUUUGGACAAUGGGGGCAACCCUGAUCCAGCCAUGCCGCGUGAGUGAAGAAGGCCUUCGGGUUGUUAAAGGACUCUUUCGGUCCGGGAACGGAAAUACGCAUGGGUGGAAUAACCCUGUGUGGAUGACGGUACCGGAACAAGAAG